GGCUCUAUGGCACAAUGGAUUGCAUGUUGGACUUCUAGUCAAAGACUGUGUGGAGUGAUUCAAAGGUUGUGAGUUCGCGUCCCAAGAGAGUUG